rnacentral:rRNA from 1 species
UACAUGGGGUGCAAACGUUGCUCGGAAUUAUUGGGCGUAAAGCGCGCGUAGGCGGUUACUUAUGUCGGAUGUGAAAGCCCUCGGCUUAACUGAGGAAGUGCAUUCGAAACUGGGUAGCUAGAGUACUAAAGAGGGUCGCGGAAUUCCCGGUGUAGAGGUGAAAUUCGUAGAUAUCGGGAGGAACACCGGUGGCGAAGGCGGCGACCUGGGUAGAUACUGACGCUGAGACGCGAAAGCGUGGGGAGCGAACAGG